GUUAGGAUUAGGGGUGAGAGUUAGGGUUACGGUACUGUAAAUAAUUUCACAUUAUUACUAAUAAUAAAUUAUUAUUUGUAUUACACUGUUACGUAAUGUAAACGCUAUUAAGACAUGUUUUUCUUCAAAGAAUGGCCUUGGUUUCUGUGGGCUGUGCCUCGUCAUGGAAGGGUAAUGCAUUCCUGCUAAAUCAUGGACAAAACGGGCUUCCAGGAGCUACAGGCCCCUGCAGCAGCAGCUUCUCCUCUACGUCCUUCACUGCCUCAAACUGUUGUUGACUUUGAAAGCUUCUUUCAGUCUAGUUUUAUCAACAGAGCUAGUAUUUCAUGAGGUUCUACUACAUACCAGGUUCCAGAAAGCUAAAUGCCUUUUGUUAUUAUUCACUAAAUACAAAUCACAACUCUCUCCUCAUUACUCACACAACAAAAUUUAGCUGAGGGAGAUUGAGUGACUUUCCCAGGGUCACAUAGCUACUAAGAGCAGAGUCGUGUUUAGAUUCAUGUGGGAAUAUUGAACACAGAAAUGAACCAGUGGAAACAUCCUAUGUUCCAAAAGCCUACUCAAGGCAUUUCUUCUUAUUUUAAGGAAAAUCUUUAUGCUAAUUUUAAACUCCAAAUACUUAUGAAUGGCAGAGAUCUACAGAUUUGAUUCUGAUGUAAGAAAUGAUGGUCACCAGCUGGUUACUGCUACCACCCCACAACCCCGAGCAUACUGGACGAAUGUCUAAGCCUUGUGGUUAGUGGGGACAAUGCUGGUGGAGUCUGAAGUUGUCAUGCAGUGACUCAUGCAAGCUUAGGCAGAUUUGGUAAUAUAUGACACAGAGAUGCAAAGAAAUGUUGUAGCUGACACACACAGGCUGGCUCUGGGAGAUGCAGAAGGAGCACGUCACCCAAAAUAGAGCCAGACAAGACAUCCUUAAGGAAGGAGCAAAAGGGCUGCAUCUUAAAGAAUGUAGAAAGGAUUUGUCAUGAGAGAUGGGGCAGGAAGUUCUUGAGAGGCAGAGGGAGAGCAUGAGAAUGUUAGGAAGGGAGGAGAGAUUCUCACACAUCUGGGAAGCUGACAAUCCAUCAGCAUGGCCAGAAGGAAAAUAAGGAGGAGGAGCAGAAAUAGAUGAGGCUGGAUAUAGAAGCAGGGCUGAAGCUGUGUCGAUUGUGGUAAAGAGUUGUGAUUCUAUCCAGAACGCAAUAGGUAGCAUUCUAAACAGAGAUCUUUUCAAACAAGAGUCAGCAAGUAUUUUCUGCAGGAGGCUAAAUGUUAAAUAUUUUAAGUUUUCCAAGCCAUAUGGUCUCUCUCUCAAUGACUCAGCUCUUCCAUUAUACCAUGAAAGUAGCCAGAGACAUUAUGUAACACAUGUAUUGGCUGUGUCCUAUUACAACUUUACUUACAAACGCAGACUGUGUCAGACAUGGUCCAUGCAUGGUAGUUUGCCACACCCUGUUUUAGAAAGCUCAGGUUUAUGAUGUGAUGGAGAAUGCCUACAAGAGCUCUUGUUUUAAAUGGUAGAGUGAACAUACACUGGAAUUCUAUCCUGCUUGACCCAAGCUCUUGAUAGCAAAAGGUAGAAAAGAUAGAUGGUAAAUAGAUAGAUAGAUGAUAGAUAAAGAAAAUACAUAGCUGUUCCAGAAAACAGAAAUGGAUAACUUCAUGAACCAAAAGCAGAGUAAUAUACUUUAGAAAGGAAGCGGGCCAGAAAACCCACAGUUGCAAAACAAAUAGAAUUUCCAACUGCCUCUUGUAGCCCCUUCCUGGAAGUAGUCACAGCCCAGGGUGUUUGACUUCUUCCUCUGUUUUUUGUUUGUUUGUUGUUUGCUUUUCUGUGGGGUUUUUGUUGUUGUUGUUUGCUUUUAAAAAAAAAUUCCCUUUCCCUGCUUUUUUGUCACAGCAGCCUUUGUCACUUCAAACACCGCAAGUGUUCUUUAAAAAAAAUUAUAUCAACCUUUCAAUUAAAAUGCAACAUGUCUGAAACUUGGUAUCUGGAGAGGUGAGUUGGACAAAGGAGCCCUUGUUACUGCACGUUUUCAUUCUUCAAAUUUCACCUUGCACACAGUAACAGACAGUGCACAAAGCCACUUCCUUAUGGACGGAAAUUCUGAAAUCCUUUUAUGCCUGGCCUUUCCAUCCUUCAACUUCCCCUCUCCCACGCUGUGAAUGAUUGUAUUGGACAUUUUUGUUUUAAUGUCAGUGACAGGGGAACACAGGUAGCUCUAAUAUAGCUGUGACCCAGAUGCUUCUGUUUCUAGCAUGUAUUUAUUUUGCAGCAAACAUUUACAUCCAUGAUGUUUCACUGUCUUUUGAAAAUAAUUAGGCAAUAUCUCAUCUGAGGUAGGUUGUUUCUAGGGAUUGUGUUCUGAGGGAGGAAAACUAAUCUGUUCUCUUUCCACUGCAUUCUAGGAACAGUAAGAGGACCUUGUGCAUGAAUAAUUUGUUUCCACACUACAGACAGAAGAAUCCCAGACUUCUUAGAGAACCCAGUGACUUUUUGUACCUUAAAUCUGUGAAAUCCUCCUGUUUUCUUCUGCCGUAUCCAUAGUUCAAACAAAGAUGAGGCAAAGCUAGAUGCAUUCCUGAAGGAACCCAAGAAAUUCCUCUCUUUCUUUCUCUGGAAUGAAAUGAAUUCUCUAAACCACCAGUUCUAACCUUCAAAAACCAAACCUGUUUGUGAGAUCUCCUUCAAAUACUACUGUAGACCCCAGUUUUUAUUCAUUAAAUUUUUUAAAUAUUUGUUUUAUUUGGAA